UUUUACCGUUUCACGUUGUAACUUCGUUUCUUAGCAUUAGUAGUAGUAGACGACAAUCUCAGUUUCCGAUCCUUGCGUUUCAACGGUUCAAUCACCGAGUCUCUAAACCGGCACGGUAAAGCUUGGUUCCUUCCUCUUUUAGACCGAACCACCGGUUCAUUUUCAUACAAAUCCACAACAACCCGAGCCAUUAACUCCGUUCCGGUUCGUUUCUCUGAUUCCUCCAAGUCUGAACCGUUCUUUUCAGACAACACUCUAGCCGCUUCGAUAAGUAAAUCAAGAUAGUUAUUAUCGCCACGUGGACGUUGAAACGACGACGUUUUUGGGUUUUCUUCGUUUUUGUUUUCUAACAACAGCGGUGCCACGUCAUCAUCGACAGUUUUGUGUUCUUGAACAUGAAUUGUUUGGUUGUUGGAAGUGGUUUUUGAGGAAGAUUGAGAAUCUUGUUGUGUGAUGGAAGAGAAAGAGAGAUUCAAAUCAAUAGGAAGAAUGGGAGAAGGUGGAGUUGAGGAAAUGAUGUGAAGGAUUUUGAAGAAGUACAUUUGGGAUUUGGAAUAGCUACGAUGGUUAUAAGAAGAAGCCAUUGAUGUUGGUUGAAGAAGGGGAUUUUUUGUUUUCAGAGAAGAAAAGAAAAGGGUUAUUUCGUCAUGGUGGUAUGGACCACGAUUUUCAAAGCAAAAACAACGGUGAGUGAGAGAAACAAGUAGUAAUAAAAACAGAAGAUUGUUAACAGUAAUGUCGUGAGUGCAGUGUACGGAGUAACCAAAAGUGAUUUUUUUUUUUUUUUUUU
rnacentral:lncRNA from 1 species